rnacentral:lncRNA from 1 species
GUUUUGUUUUCGUUUUCUUCACAGCACAAUGGGCCCUUGGAAACGUGGUUAUAGGGGAAAAUGAUGCUUCUUGUAUCGGAAUAAUUGCAAACUAGACAUGCAAAGUGCUCAUCUGCUGGCGCGGGUCCAAGCCUGUAGCCCCAAAUCGGAUAAUCUCUGCAACUGAUAACAAGCAAAAGAGAAGCCAGGCAACAGCCAUAUUAAAGAAGAAAACAGUCAACUCAGAGGAUACAGACAGGCAGAAGUAACUAGACGUCCAAGGUCUUGCCGGCCCAGGAUUUCAAACAAAAGAAAACUCGGAUCCAACUUAGAAAUAAUGUUUCACUCAGCAUAAGGCUUGUGGUUUAGGAGAUUCUGGCCUGGCUUGCCUCAUUCUAAGACUUCUAUCAUCUCUUUUCAAAACCAAAGGAGGAUCUCAUUUCCUGUUUGAUAGUUCCUCAUGCUUUGCCAGCCUCCGGGUCUUUAAGGAAACUUGCCAAGAGUUCCAGGCUGGGAAGGACAGUCAGAGUUCAUCACAGAGAAUGAGCUGGCACCACCGGUAUGGUGACUCACCAACCUGGUUGCCCAUUUUGCAAUGGCAAGAACCACACUAUCUACUUGAAAGACCUGUGUUUUAGCAAAGUGCAAUUGGAUCACCUGCAAAAUCAUCUCAAAAUAUAUCUCUGAUCUUCCCUUUCACUGGCUGUUUUGAACACAAGACAAGAUGCCACCCUGGGAGUUUUAUUUUCUCCAGGAAAGUAGAGUUGUCUUUGGGAAUUCUAGCUUGCGAACUCACUAUGUAAAUGUGGUCAUCAAGCAAGACGGAACUGCCAAGAGGGAAGAUUUUGAAUGUUUCUCUUUCUUAAAACCCUUUACAGCAUUCCUUCUUCCAGUGGUACUUUACUCAAAAGUUUUCCCCUUUCCCCAGCGCUGUUGAAAAUGGCUCCAAAGCAAAACUGCAGUAGCUAAACCAGUUGUACUGUGAAGUUGUUGAGGUGACAUUUCAUCUGAAUCCUUUGUAAAAAUUAGAUUUUAAGUAAGGGUGAAUGUCCAUUUGGGAAAAGGGACAAGGGAGGGUGGAAGGAGAGAGGGAGAGGACCGAGCAGUUUAUAUACAUAUAUGCUCUUUGUGUUUGAAGGCCUCUCUGUCUUGGCUUCUCACUAUGUUAAAUCCCUAUGAUAAAACUUAUCUUCACAAAGCCUAUUAUAGUAUUCUGAGAACAAAUUGGACCAUGAAUAACUUAGUUGGAAGUGUAGAUUAUUUUCUACUCAGGGCAAGUUAGCGAUGACAACAGCUUAACUAAAAGAAUAGUGAUUAAUCUUAAAUAGAUAGAUUUCAAAGUUUCCCUCUUGGCAAAGUGCACCUUUGAUAUCUGUCCUCUUCAGAGGCAGGUUUCCACUUUCUUUGAAUUAAGAAUUGUCCUAGUGAAUACACUGUCCACUUGACACACCAGGGCUCUAAGCGUAGAUCUUUUUCUCAUAGGUCGUUAAUGUGUCAGAGAGGGGACCAGAAGGACUCUCUACUUCCCAUUGGUUAAAUGUCUGGUUCCAAAGUGGGACCUGUGCUUAGACAUCCAACUCACUGUUAGAAAUGAUACCUUGCAUAAGGCAUAAUUUUUCAAUUAGAUACAAUUAUUUUUUAAAAACAUCUUAAAUUUGUUGAAUGCCCUGUAGCUUACAAAGCACUUCUCAAGUCGUAAUAUUGUUUGAUCCUUAGAAUCAUGUUAUGAAGUAAACAAAUAUCAUUAAUCCCACUUUACCAAGGAAGCUGUCGUUUGCGCUCUGUGAUCCUGCUGAUCAAAGGAAAUAUUAACUCAAAUUUUAUAGCUUCUGUUUCAAGUGAUUAACCUAUAGCAAGAGGCUUUUGAAUUAUUUUUGUGUUCUAUAUCCCUGAAAGUCAAAAUUUUUAUUAAAGAGUAAAAUUUUUAUGUUUCACAGAUAAAGAAGUUAAAAGAACUGAUUGGAAAAAACUCUUCACUUAGAAAUGAAUUUUGCUAAUUAUUGUUUUCCUUUGCAUGUACAUACACAUAUAUAUUUAUAUUUCAACGGUCUUUCAGAGUUGAAGAUCUUACUUUCUAAAAGUCAAGUAUGGGCAGUCCUGUAUAAAUUAAAUAACUACGUGGAAUUUUAAAAGGUACCUGAAAACUAUGUUUCAAAAUACAAUAUUACAAUAAAAACCCUUUAGAAGCAGGUUCAGAAUAUUAACUAAUUAUUUAACAGCAUGCCAUUGAUUAAGUUCUAGAGUGCUAUAGGCGAGGUUUCCCUUCUGGUGUUUUUUUUUCCAGCUUUAUUGAGAUAUA